rnacentral:rRNA from 1 species
UACAGAGGGGGCAAGCGUUAUUCGGAAUUAUUGGGCGUAAAGGGCGCGUAGGCGGUUUGGUAAGUCGGGUGUGAAAUCUCCACGCUCAACGUGGAGGGGCCACUCGAUACUGCCAUGACUCGAGUCCGGGAGAGGAGAGUGGAAUUCCCGGUGUAGCGGUGAAAUGACGCAGAUAUCAGGAGGAACACCGAUGGCGAAGGCAGGUCUCUGGGCAUUAACUGACGCUGAGGAGCGAAAGCAUGGGGAGCGAACAGG